rnacentral:pre_miRNA from 1 species
AAGGGGAGCACCGGAUCCUGGGCUGUGUCCCCGGCGCCCUGGGAUCCCCGGCCUGCGCAGCUGGAAUCCGUUCCCGGGGCGCAGCCCCCU